AUUCCAGCUCCAAUAGCGUAUAUUAAAGUUGUUGCGGUUAAAAAGCUCGUAGUUGGAUUUCUGUCGGUGAAUAUCAGUCCGCCCACAGCGGUAGGUACGUGAUAUUUCACCGGCAUCUUCCUGGGGAAUGUGUCUGCUCUUUAUUGAGUGGUACAUAAGCCAGGACCUUUACUUUGAAGAAAUGAGAGUGUUUCAAGCAGGCAUGCGCCGUGAAUACGUUAGCAUGGGAUAAUAGCAUCGGACCUCGUUCCAAAGCUGUUGGUUUCUUGGACCGAGGUAAAGGUGAAUAGGGAUUGUUGGGGGCAUUCGUAUUUGACUGUCAGAGGUGAAAUUCUUGGAUUUGUUGAAGACGGACUACUGCGAAAGCAUCUGCCAAAGAUGUUCUCAUUG
rnacentral:rRNA from 1 species